AGCGAACGCUGGCGGCAGGCUUAACACAUGCAAGUCGAGCGGGCAUCUUCGGAUGUCAGCGGCAGACGGGUGAGUAACACGUGGGAACGUACCCUUCGGUUCGGUACAACUCUGGGAAACUGGAGCUAAUACCGGAUACGCCCUUAUGGGGAAAGGUUUACUGCCGAAGGAUCGGCCCGCGUCUGAUUAGCUAGUUGGUGGGGUAACGGCCUACCAAGGCGACGAUCAGUAGCUGGUCUGAGAGGAUGAUCAGCCACACUGGGACUGAGACACGGCCCAGACUCCUACGGGAGGCAGCAGUGGGGAAUAUUGGACAAUGGGCGCAAGCCUGAUCCAGCCAUGCCGCGUGAGUGAUGAAGGCCUUAGGGUUGUAAAGCUCUUUUGUCCGGGACGAUAAUGACGGUACCGGAAGAAUAAGCCCCGGCUAACUUCGUG
rnacentral:rRNA from 1 species